AGCCAGGCGCACGCCUCCCAUUCACCGCGGGUGCCCGUGGCUCCAAAGGACGCCAGCAUUGGUUAUUCUCCCCGCGGUUGGGCCGGUUUCCCUGCCGGAAAGUGUGUUCUGGGGCAGCACUGCCCGGAUGAGGCACCAGCAUCCCUGACUUCAUGCAAGAGGAAGGAAGCAGCAGCAGGGGCUGAAAUGCCAGUGACACCAGAUAAAACCUAGCUCUGUGCCAUCUUCGUGCCUUGUAAAUAGCAGCAUCUCUGGGGAUUUCUUGACACUUUGCUGAAAUUAGCACCUGUAAAAAGAGCAGCUGCCAAGGCUGAAUUUAAAUAAGACGGGGAGAAUACCAGCAGGAAGAGGGUAGAGAAUGAGAGAGCUCUUGAAUCACUUCCCUCCAUGAAGGCACCUACCUGGAAAUCAACUCCCGUCUCCUUUAGCCCUGCUUAAAGCUAACAUUACUGUAGCAAGAUGCCCACAGCUGCCUCAAAGUGCUGGGCACUGUGCCUGCCCUGCCUGACACAGGCCUGGGCAUGCCAGUGCAGGUGCCCACAUCAUUUGGUCUCCCAUCAAAGCCACCCCCAGCUGCCAAAAUGCCGCUACUCACUAAAACAAGCAGAAGUACAGAAUGUAUGGCCAACCAGCCCUGGCCUUCUCUUAGGCUUGGUUAGGUAUCUCAAGUUCUGUGCAGCAUUAGGGAAUGCAAGCAGGCAGCAGCAACCAUGAAUUACUUUAUUCGCUUUUAAUUGGGACUAGCAGGUGGCACAUGCAGUUUAUUACAAAUGCACAGGAUUUAAACUACUCUUGUGGCAGCUAAAAUGGGAAAUGUGGGGUUUGGAGAGGGGAGAUGCAAGCAGGUGAGGAAGGACUCUAAUGAGCUGUGUCAGCUGAAGCUCAAGACCCCCAUGUUUGCAACUGGCGAUGAGGCACUAACAGCUAAGAGAUCUGGGGGAAGUGGGGUGGGGUGGAGGCUGUAAUACUGGCGCUCCAGGGCUGGCUGUGAGGGUGUUUCCCCUGUGAAGAUGCCCACUGCAUGAAUUGCUGUGAAGGCUGCCAGAGACCAAGCAUAGAGAGGACCAGACGCCUUCCUUGUGGAGGAUGCACCAAAAAAAGAAAAAAAAUGUGAGGAAAAAAAAAAUCAAAUUAAAUGUUUCUCUUUAUUGUUCACUCAGUUCCUUAUUAAAGCAUUUUUCCCUA